GGGAGCAGGAGGGUCGCUGACAGUGUACGACACUGAGGAAAGUCCCCUCUCCACGACGCAAGUGGCCCGGUUCAUUCCGGGGGCCCGGGAGGGCCGGCUCUGCAGCAGAAACGAACCGCAGCGGGUGUGUGCGAUGAAGCCGAAAGGUGGAGAUCGCCCGUGGACGGAUGGAACGAGCACCCCCACUGGAGCAAGUCCAAACAGCCCCGACGAAGCGCGUCGACGAGGGGCGGGUCGGACGCUCAGUUGAAUGCGACCAGCCAUAUGGUGAACAGAAAGGGGCUUACUCCCUGCACCC
rfam:Euryarchaeota archaeon TMED255 MHASMcontig_744795, whole genome shotgun sequence.